rfam:Puccinia sorghi strain RO10H11247 Scaffold_2669, whole genome shotgun sequence.
GUGUACUUAGCUCAAUGGUUAGAGCAUCACUCAUGAAUUUUGAGGUUGUGGGUUUGAGUCCCACAGAACGCA